CACAUAAUAUAAAUGGAGAUUGAUAUUUAUUGAUAUUAGGUGGAGGUAAAAUAAAAAGCUAACAUUAGCUAGCCGCCGGGACAAGCUAACUAUUAGCUGACAUUAGCCAACAUGGCGCCACGAACAGACCAAACUUCAGCUCAUCCUUCAACACCGUCAACCCUGACAUCCUCCACCAGAAGAUCAGCCUGCUCAAAGUCCCGGCCUCCACCUGCUCAGCUUCCUGACUGAUCGGCAGCAGCCGGAGCUGCUGGUCAUCAUUCAGGACAGGUCCAGGACUACAGAAAGGAUCAUCAGGGCUGACCUUCCCUUCAUCCAGGACUUGUAGAGGUCUAGGAUCAGGAUAAGGGCACCUAACAUCUCUGCAGAGCUCACAUAAAUUCCUUGUUUGUUCACACAAACUUGGCCAAUAAAGUUGAUUCUGAUACAGUUUUGUGCUUCACCCUCGGAUGCAAAAAGAUGCUCUUUUAAAGAUUUUUUUUUUCUACUUCUUUUUUUAUGAAUGCAGUUAUCUACUUCAGUCUUAACCUCACAUAUCAGAUACCAUGAGUUUUAAACCCUGUGUGUUUUACACUGCGUGUUAUGCUGUUAUGCUCAGGUAUGUGACAAAGUGGUUCAGUUUGUGUUUACCACUUUUCCCUUAUUCUUAUUUCUGAUGUAUUUACUUUCAGUAGCUGGUCAUAAAGCUUAAAUUUAAACAUUAGUUUGCAACUUGGCUUCACUUACUAUCCCGGGUUUGUUUGUGUUAGCAUUAUGUUGCAGUUUCCAUCUAUUUAUAUGUUUGGGUUAAAGAUAUUACAUCUGGACUAUUGGUUGAAUUUGUUUAUUUUGUUUCAAAGUAUAUUCAUGGUAUUUGUUUUCCUUUUUAUUCCCCAUUGUUUGUCAUAGUGUUUCCUGCUUGAAUGGCUGGAUGAUGUCACUGAUUAUCUUGCUGGGCUCUACCAAUUAGAGGGUUUUCUUUGGAGUAUUGCUUUGUUUCUUUGUUUGUUUUUCUUUAAAGUAACUUUUGAGUUAACUUCUAUUACAUGGUAUAUUGUGCAGAUCCUUUCAUUAUGAAGAUGAGUUUGUAAAUUAGAUUAGUAAUUUUGUUUUUCUAGUUUCUCUGUUUAGAUUUUGUUUUUUCCUGUCUAAUUGUGGUUUGGUCCACUCAAGCGCAGGUGUGUUGCCAACUGGCUAUACAAACCAGUGGGUGCUUGGAAGCUAGAAAAAAAGAGUGGUCUGAGUCAAAAGUAGCAAAUAAAAAGUCAACAGAAGAGUCUGAAACCGGGGGCUGAUGCUGUUUUCUUGUUCACCUUGCUGCUCCUUGACAACACUACUUCACAAGGCGAAGGCCUCCAUGUCACCGUUGCGGUAAAUCUUACACAGCCCCAGCUCCUCUGUGGCUCGCAGUAACGUACAGCGUGGCGCAGACAACACGAUGAUGUUACCAGUGGCGUCCUCGCCUGGGUGAGCCAGUAACCCGGCACCUGGAGUCAAACCGUGAAGGAGCUGCUGUAAACCGAGACCGUACCUCCAUCCUUCUGGGGAGCCCCAAUCAGUUUGAUGAGCCAGCGCUUCGUCUCAGGGAUGACCUUCUGUCCGAGCUUCACCACAACCAGCGGCUCGACCUGCUCCGAGACACAGCAGGUGCAGCUGACUUUGGUCCAGCCUGGUGUAAAGGAGUGGGCGGUCAGUUUGCUCGUCGCCUUCCCACUUGCACCUUCCCCACCCAGCUGUUGGGCUGGUUCACCGAGGCCACCAGGGUGUUGGCCCAAUUCACAGUCCCUAACCUGGGGGAGCAUGGUGCAACACCCUCCCUCCACCCACGCCCAGCGACCGGUAUGGCAAAGUUCUACGAGGAGCAACAUGCUACCUGGGAACGCUCUAAGGGUUCCUGAGACUUUAGAGCCAAAACAUCACGAGGUGUGCCGAAGGGAAUCUGCUGAAGAUCCGCCAGUCGCUGUCAGGACGCCCUGCUGUCGAGUCAGAUCGUUCAAUCAUCAACCUCUGCAGGGAUCUGAGGGCUUGAUUAAACAAGCAGCUUCACUCUGAGGUGGGACCAAAAACGCACACAAAAACAUUCUAGCUCAGAGCAGAGGCUGAAGGAAAAACAUGGACUCAAAACUGCUUCUCUUGUGCCGUACCAAAUGCUGAAAAGUUCAAUGUGAAUCUAUUGCUGUAGCCAAGAGAAGCUGCUGUAAGUUUAGAUAUGAUCUGCAGCUUUGUACAUGAAACUUCUUCCUUUUUUAAUUAAAAACACCCUCUAAAUGA